CGUAACUAAAAUCAACAACUAUCUACCUUAAACCCAAGGUCCAACACAAGGCUUGUGUUGGAUCAUAUCAAUCGGUUCAUAAUCAUCCUAAAACCUAAUAUGACUAUAUAGUCCAUAUGAGGAUGCAAUGCAUUCGUUAGUAGUUCCAUAUAGUCUCGCUUGUUUCAACGAAACAGUGGGAGUAUUAUAUGCUACUAAUUCAUAUUAACUUGGACCAAUAGUUGUGAUAGGCUUAAGUUCUUUUAAUAUGAUUAAAAUGAUUUUGAUGUAGCCCAAAACUACUCCCUCGACAAACGAAUAUUAAGUUGAUAAGCGAGAGAUGUUUUGAACAUCUCUUCGUAGGCCUUCCACCGUGGUGGGCUCCAAUCGUUUGUGACUCAUGCACCGGCUUCACCCUAUCAUGGGGGAGUACAAAGUAUGUGCUUACAUCCAGGAGGAGUCCAUAAACAUAUGAUGAGGUGAGUGUAGGCAACGAGGAUAGCCGAUAUCAUAUCAUUGUGACACUAUUCUUGAACCCCUUCAUGAACUAAGCAUGGUGGGAAUGACUUAACUAAGUGCAAUGGUGUCGAUAUCGUAUCAUCGUGAGGCAACAUUCUCUAGAGGCCAAACGGAUGGGUAAUUACAAAAGUUGUAAAUGAAUAAUGCGUUAUUCUCUCAUCAUUAUUUUUGCUAACCAAUAUCGUAUCAUCGUGAGGUGGGCUUGGUAAUGGUGAGUCUCCCAUAACCCGCUAAGAGUUCAAUACAACUCUUGAAUUCUAUUGAGGGAUGUGGAAUUUGCCAAAAAUAGUGGGUGGUACUAUUUGAUUCAAAGACCCAAUCAAAUAGUUUUAAACAAACAAUCUAAUACGAUUUCUGUUAUGUUAUGUAGUGAACGACAUGCCUAAAAUUAUACCCACCAUUAUACUUACAAAAAGGGCCUUAAGGGCCAACGUUUCCUUGCUUGGUAUCGCCACAUUGAGAAUGUCUCAAAGGUGAAAGACAUAUUGUAUGUGCUUAAGCAAUCCCCUCCUCAUGUACCUUCUAUGAAAUUAGCUUCAAAGGAGGAGUGUCAAAAUUAUGUUAGACACUAUGAGGAUGACUUACAAGCCAAAUG
rnacentral:lncRNA from 1 species